rnacentral:lncRNA from 1 species
UAAAACUACAACUGCCGGACACAAAUCAAGCUUUGAAAGGUAUCAGCUACAAUGCUAAGAUGUCCUGGUCUUACUAGUCCAAGAAAGUUUUCAUACCUGAGACCUAGUUCAACAAAAUUGAGAUGUGAGCAUCACCAGCAAUAGCUAUACAUCUUUAAUCUAAAGACUAGGCAUACAAGAAGCGUUUUACAUCCAUUCUCGUCUUAACAAGCUAACAAGGCCCCUUUCCAGAGGUCUUAAUCCUUGGCCUCUACACUGUAGACAACCCCUGGUAAUCUGAGUACUUGCUACCCACCCAUGCUACUUGGUAGGACACGGAGGAAGCGAUGGGCCUGCCCCUUACCGUCUUACUAAAGGAUGGCAGACAGCCUGAGAAGCAACCUCAUGG